CCUACGGGUGGCUGCAGUGGGGAAUAUUGGGCAAUGGGCGCACGCCUGACCCAGCCACGCCGCGUGAAGGAAGACGGCUCUCGGGUUGUAAACUUCUUUUAAGAGGGAAGUGCAGAAGACGGUACCUCUUGAAUAAGCCACGGCUAACUAAGUGCCAGCAGCCGCGGUAAUACGUAGGUGGCAAGCGUUGUCCGGAUUUACUGGGUGUAAAGGGUGUGUAGCGGGGAAGUCAAGUCAGUUGUGAAAGUCCGCGGCUCAACCGUGGAACUGCAGUUGAAACUGUUUGUCUUGAGUACCGGAGAGGUCAGCGGAAUUCCUGGUGUAGCGGUGAAAUGCGUAGAUAUAAGGAAGAACACCGAUGGCGAAGGCGGAUGACUGGACGGCAACUGACGGUGAGGCGCGAAAGUGUGGGGAGCAAACAGGAUUAGAUACCCGAGUAGUC
rnacentral:rRNA from 1 species